rnacentral:rRNA from 1 species
GAUGAACGCUAGCUACAGGCUUAACACAUGCAAGUCGAGGGGCAGCAUGGUCUUAGCUUGCUAAGGCCGAUGGCGACCGGCGCACGGGUGAGUAACACGUAUCCAACCUGCCGAUAACUCGGGGAUAGCCUUUCGAAAGAAAGAUUAAUAUCCGAUAGUAUAUUAAAACCGCAUGGUUUUACUAUUAAAGAAUUUCGGUUAUCGAUGGGGAUGCGUUCCAUUAGUUUGUUGGCGGGGUAACGGCCCACCAAGACUACGAUGGAUAGGGGUUCUGAGAGGAAGGUCCCCCCACAUUGGAACUGAGACACGGUCCAAACUCCUACGGGAGGCAGCAGUGAGGAAUAUUGGUCAAUGGGACGAGAGUCUGAACCAGCCAAGUAGCGUGAAGGAUGACUGCCCUAUGGGUUGUAAACUUCUUUUAUAUGGGAAUAAAGUUUUCCACGUGUGGAAUUUUUGUAUGUACCAUAUGAAAUAAGGAUCGGCUAAACUCCGUGCCAGC